ensembl:lncRNA
UCUCCAGUGUCACAAACCUGUAAGAAGAUGGUUGGCUGCUGGAUCUUUACUUCUGGUCCCAUCUCACUGACUGUCAGCAUAGACCCACAAGGUUAUUGCAAUGGAGAAUCAAUUCCAAUUUAUGCUCUGACUGAGAACCGUCCAUCUCGUAUAGUUGUGCAAAAAGCAGUGGUAUACCAGAUACAGACCUAUACAUCCAAGGGUAAAACAAAAAACAUCAAACUGGUGGUUUGCUCAUGCUAGAGGAAAUGUAGUGAUGUCUGACACUUCCAGCAGGUGGAAUGGAAACACAUUGAAGAUCCCUCCAGUUUCUCCCUCCAUUCUGAAUUCAGGCAUCCUGAGAGUGGAAAACUUACUUGCAGUGAGUAAAAAUGUUAUGAUGAUUAUUUGAUGGAUUUCUUUAUUAUUAUUAUUAUUAUUAUUAUUAUUAUUAUUAUUAUUAUUAUUAUUAUUAUUAUUAUUAUUUUAUCAUUAAUGCUACAAGGCUUUAUUUUAUGAUAAACAUAGUAUAGUUAUGGAAAAGGUUGAUUAACUGACAUCAAAUGCCCAUUUUUUUUGUGUAACAUCUACUAGCUAACAAGCUACAUGUAUAAAACUCCCUUAUAUGAAUGGCUGUAUCUUUGUUGUUUCUUUGCUCAAGGUUAUUGUUCUAGAAGUGCAGAUUCAAGUGGUGAUUGGUACCAAAGCUAUGCAGAGGUUAUGUCAGAGAAACAGUUUGAGGAGCACAGAACUUCAACCUGCCAAUCACAACCAGACUGGCUGCUAGAUGGCUCAGCAUUCGCUUGUGUUCAGCAGUUCCGCCUCCAGCCGCCUCCUCCAUAUUCAGAGGUUGGUCCUUUCUUCAUCCUUCCUUUCUUUCUGUUACGCCUUUAAUAGUAUGUACAGUAUCAUCAUAUUAUGAUGUCUUUUUAACGUUGCAGAUUUGCCCAAGUGAACAGUAAUCUUUUAUCCAAGUUUAUUUUGUGGAGAAGACCAAAGAACCACCUUGUGCCUUAAUUAUUUAAUUAUUUUUUCCACGUUGUUUAUGGAUUACAGGUGAAUUGUUUGUUUUGAUCAUGAGUUCAUGUCAAAGUUCUGUAGUCAAACUCAGCCAGACUAUUGUCAAGUUUUGUCCACUUUGCAAUGUAUUCUGGUAUUCUGCUGUUUUUCUGUACUUUUCUGUCUGUUAUUGUGAUAUUAACUAUUUGAAUCAAUCUAUAAACUGCACAUAAAAAACACUAAUUCUAAAAAAAACCCUCUAAAAAUACUCUAAUUAGUCUCAUCAUGUCUAGAUGGUAAAUUAUCACUAAAAACAACAACUGGAAAGCAACAAGCCAGAUGGAGUAACUGGAUUUGUACUGUUUUUCACAACAUUAGAACUUAAUAAAAACGUUAAUUUUUUGUACAACUCAUAAUCUUUUGACUUUUAUGAAAAUGUCUUAGUACUUUUAGUGUGAGUAUAAUGUAAUAAGCAGGAACUCCCAGCCAUAAAAAAAAAAAAAAAAAAAAUUCUGAAGCAGCACAGCUGCAUUAGUUGCACAAAUGUUCAUCAAUAACUCUUCACAGUCUCACUUGUCACAGAGGCCUUUCAUUUAUAUGGGAAAGAUUAGAGUGAAAUAACUAGAUUGCUUAAUCAGUGUCAGAGAUACACACUUUAUAUGAUACUGAUGUUAAAAUUAACACCAACCAUGAGUUUCAGAAAAGUGCACAACUGUAAAGAAAUAUACACUACACUUUUCACAGUCACAAACUAUUUGGUUUUAUUGAAUGACUAUUAAUUACACUUUUGCACUUUCUAAAUUUCUGUUAGCUAUUAUAUGUGUAUUUUUUUUUUUUUUUUUUUAAUAUUCUAGAUAUAUACACAAUUAUCUACAUUUCUUUCUUUCAACAAAUUAUGUUUUUUUUUUUCUUUUCUGGUACAAUCAAUGACUAUUUUGAUAGAGACAAAAUGUUGAUGUUAUUGCUGCAUUCUGUUGUGUAUUUUUUUUUGUUCAAACAAAGAAUGGUCUAUAAAUUGACCAAAAUUCACCAGAUAUCCAAGUUAACAAAUUUUGCAACAGAAAUGUUACCAUCAUACAGUAUGUGAACAAAGCUAAUAAUUUUUGCUCACAAUCUGUGCUGCACAUCGAUAGUUUACAAAAUGUCAUACUAUUUACACGUGGUAGCAAAUGAAAACAUCAGCAUCAACCAAUCAAAAUGUACUUAUAACUGAAAAAUUAAUUUUCAGUAAAAAUUAAACAUACUUCCAAAUACAGUACUGCACCCAAAUGAGCAUAAAUACGAUGAAGACCUACCUUACAAUAGUGCACUCAUAAUGUAUUUAACUUGCUGUGUCUCAGUAGUCCCAUAAAGUGUAUUAUUGGACUGGUGGAGCCGCCUGAACUCUGAGUGCCCUGAACCCAAAGAGAUAUCUCGGGCGAGAUUUUAUCCAAGUGUGAAUGUGCAAUAUUUAUAAGAAGUGUGAAUUAUUUAGCAUGUGGCCGUCACACAGCCAGCUGUUACCCUCUGAAAUGCAUCACUGAAAAAAAAAAAAAAAAAAAAUGAAGACUAGGCUGAAAUGAAAGAUGUUAACCUAUAUGUUAAUAGAAUGUAAACCUCUGUGCUAGAGUAACAUUCAGGCCUCUCUCACUCUAAAUUGAGUGUUCAACAUAAAACAUGACUGUUACUCUUUCUUUAAUGAUUUUAGAAUAUGGAUUUUGCCUUUUUGUUUGGUUGAAUGGGGAUUUAAAGGAAAAGUUCACCCAAAUAUGAAAUUUUGCCAAAAAUUUACUCAUCAGGCCAUCCAUGACAUAACUUUUCACUUCAGAUGUUAAUUGAUUGAACAGAAAUGUGUGGAUUACUUGUAAAGUGUUGUAAUGCUUUUAUCAGCUGUUUGGACUCAUUCUGACGGCACCCAUUCACUGCAGAGGAUCCAUUGGUGAGCAAGUGUAAUGAUAAAAGUCUUCAAAUCUGUUCCGAACACAAAUGAGCUUUUCAAUAGAGGCUAAACCCAUAAUACUUUCAACAUUAAGAUGGCAAACAAAAUCCAAGACACUUUUUGUUAGAAAAAAGUUUUACAUAAAGAUUUUGUGUAAAUCGAUGUUUUUAAACAAUGUGCACUUUUGUAAAAAAAAACUAAAAAAAAAAACUAAAAUAAUUUAUGAAUGUGGCAGAAGUAAGUUAUUAGAGCAUUCAUUUCAUGCCUUGUCCAUCUGUUACAGAGCAAUUGAUCUGAAAGUCACAAAACACUGCAACAUUUUC